rnacentral:misc_RNA from 1 species
AACUGCGAUAAGUAAUGUGAAUUGCAGAAUUCAGUGAAUCAUCGAGUCUUUGAGCGCACAUUGCGCCCCCUGGCAUUCCGGGGGGCAUGCCUGUCCGAGCGUCAUUGCUGCCCUUCAAGCCCGGCUUGUGUGUUGGGUCGUCGUCCCCUCCGGGGGACGGGCCCGAAAGGCAGCGGCGGCACCGCGUCCGGUCCUCGAGCGUAUGGGGCUUUGUCACCCGCUCGAUAAGGACCGGCCGGGCGCCAGCCGGCGUCUCCAACCUUUUUCUCUCAGGUUGACCUCGGAUCAGGUAGGGAUACCCGCUGAACUUAAGC